rnacentral:rRNA from 1 species
AGCUCCAGAAGCGUAUAUUAAUGUUGUUGCAGUUAAAAAGCUCGUAGUCGGAUUUCGGGGCGGGUCGAAGGGUCUGCCGAAUGGUUUGUACCUUUUGACCCGCCCUUCCUUCCGAGGGCCCUAUCUGCACUUUACUGUGUGGAUUGGGAGCUCGGGACUUUUACUUUGAAAAAAUUAGAGUGUUUAAAGCAGGCCAUUGCUCUGAAUACAUUAGCAUGGAAUAAUCGAAUAGGACUCUGGUUCUAUUUUGUUGGUUUCUAGGACCGGAGUAAUGAUCAACAGGGACAGUUUGGGGCGUUCGUAUUUCAUUGUCAGAGGUGAAAUUCUUGGAUUUAUGAAAGACGAACUUCUGCGAAAGCAUUCGUCAGGGAUGUUUUCA